GAGGGUCUAGCUCAGUGGUAGAGUGCGUGCUUAGCAUGCAUGAGGUCCUGGGUUCAAUCCCCGGUACCUCCU
rnacentral:tRNA from 1 species